AGUGAACGCUGGCGGUAGGCCUAACACAUGCAAGUCGAACGGCAGCACAGUAAGAGCUUGCUCUUACGGGUGGCGAGUGGCGGGCGGGUGAGGAAUACAUCGGAAUCUACUUUUUCGUGGGGGAUAACGUAGGGAAACUUACGCUAAUACCGCAUACGACCUACGGGUGAAAGCAGGGGAUCUUCGGACCUUGCGCGAUUGAAUGAGCCGAUGUCGGAUUAGCUAGUUGGCGGGGUAAAGGCCCACCAAGGCGACGAUCCGUAGCUGGUCUGAGAGGAUGAUCAGCCACACUGGAACUGAGACACGGUCCAGACUCCUACGGGAGGCAGCAGUGGGGAAUAUUGGACAAUGGGCGCAAGCCUGAUCCAGCCAUACCGCGUGGGUGAAGAAGGCCUUCGGGUUGUAAAGCCCUUUUGUUGGGAAAGAAAAGCAGCAGGUUAAUACCCCGCUGUUCUGACGGUACCCAAGGAAUAAGCACCGGCUAACUUCGUG
rnacentral:rRNA from 1 species